GACAAACAGCGCCAGAUUAUCAAAAGUCAUGUGUGAGUAAAUGUCCAGCAGUCCUUCCCUGCCUGAUUCUGAUCUUGUUUUUGCCCCCUGGAUGUCCACGUCAGAUAUUCUCUUGGCUUCUGAAUUCUGGACAUUGACCCUGCUUCUGCCUCUUGACUACAGCUCUCUGCCUAACCACUGGAUCCGUCUGCCUGAAUCUGCCUCUCUGUUCAUGAUCUUGCUUCUGUGCCCUGACCAACGAUUUAAGCCUCUCCCUCGGAUGCUGUCGCCUGACUCUGCUUCCCCGGUUUUGACACAGUUUUUGUCCCCUGAGUAGCGCACUCUGCUCUCUCACUGGGAGUACAAACCUGAAAGCCCAUGUGACGUUGUACUGCUGUCAGUGGAUCAUCACACUGAGUAGCCAAAAUUCAGUUUCCUUAUCUCUUAACGGAUUCUGAAAAGAGGUUCCUGAGCGUGCAGCUGGUGGUUUCCUGCCGAUCAUCUUCCAGAGCUUUCAAUAACUCUUCUGAAACUUACCUGUUGUGUCCGGCUGAAAUUUCGGGUCCCCUGAAUUAUUCGUUACAGUAUUAAGUCGUUAUUACUUUUGACAUCGGGCCAGGUUGUGUCCCAUCAGGAACAAUAACACACUGGACUACUGCCACACAGCUUUGUCUGGUGUUGCAGCAUCUGAAGGAUAUCAUGGGCCCCCUGCAGUUUGCUCAUGGUGGUAAGUUGGUAGAUAAUGCAGUCAGUGUGGGACUAUACUUCAUCCUGGACCAUCUCGACACCCCAUGAACGUAAGCAGCGGGUGAAGGUCUGUGAAACUCCUGACGUUUGCAGAUGACACCACUGUUACUGGUCUGACCCAGGACAGUGAGUCUGCAAACAGACACGAGGUGAAUGGGCUGGUGCAGUCAGAACCUCAUGGAGUUUAACCCACUCCACAUGAUGAAGAUAAUGGUGAACACCCUCAACACUGCCUCCCCUCACCAUUCUCAACAUGUCUUCUGUGAAUCACUACCAGUUCCUGGUAACCACCCUUUCUUGGGACCUGAGAUGGUCCUCACACAUUUGACCCUUUUCCACUAGUACCUAUUCUGUUCGGAUCAGGUCAGUUUAACACAGGCCCCACGGUCUGAAGUGAUGGACAAAAACAAACACAACAGCCCAGACUGCUGAUCUGUUUAUGGCUGUUGCUAGACUCCGAGUGAAAGAAGAGAGCCCGAGAAGGUUCUGGGCAGCGAGACCCAAAUCACCGUGGAUAACUAAAGGGGACAGACACUAACUAGAGGAUAUCUCAGGAUAAGCUAAGUGGGCCUCAUGUCAGCAAGUACUAAAAAUAGUAACAGUUCCACUAAACCUUUACUAAUGGAAAAGUAGAACACGUAAAUCGUACCGGAGCAAACCACUUUAAGUAGGGACUAGUGGAAAAGGGGCAAUAGACACUGUUCAUAGGUCCAGCAGACUGUAUUUCCUUUGGCAACUACCUUCCAGGAGCUGCUGGACAUCUACACUGUGAUUAUCCAGUUUUUGUUUUGUGUGUACGUUUUUGUAAUGUUUCCCUGAAUGAAUAAAAUAAUUUAAAAACUGCA